AUGCAAAAGCAUGAGCAGGCCGAGGGUCCUGCUAACGGACGGCUGCCGGAUCAUUGGACGAAGCCACCGUUGGGCUGGAACAAGCUUAAUGUAGAUGGUGCUUAUGCCAUGAAGGCGGGCACGGGAGGCGCUGGCAUGAUCUUGCGUGAUGAUGAUGGAGCGAUCAUCUUCGCAUCAAGUCGCCAUCUACAUACUUGCAAUAGCCCGCUUGAAGCGGAACUCGCUGCCUGUAUGGAAGGAAUUUCCCUAGCCUAUGAUUGGAGCACCAAGCCUUUUGUUAUUGAAACUGACUCGCAAGUUGCAGUAAACAUGAUCAUGCAGCCAGAGACGAAUCGAUCGCCGACGGUUGCCAUAAUGGGUGAAAUCAAGAGUCUACUUAAGCAGAGUAGAGAGUACUCUGUAGUGCAUGUGCAUCGUUCAUGUAAUAAUGUAGCACACCGGCUAGCUCAGAUAGGGCAUCAUCAUGUGCGUACGGCAGUUUGGCUACGGUCUGGACCAAAUGAGAUUGAGUAG
rnacentral:rRNA from 1 species